rnacentral:rRNA from 1 species
AACGAACGCUGGCGGCGCGCCUAAUACAUGCAAGUCGAGCGAGAAGACGUAGCAAUACGUUUGUAAAGCGGCGAACGGGUGAGGAAUACAUGGGUAACCUACCCUCGAGUGGGGAAUAACUAGCCGAAAGGUUAGCUAAUACCGCGUACGCUCCUUGGACUUCGGUUCAGGGAGGAAAGCGAUACCGUGGGUAUCGCGCUCUUGGUUGGGCUCAUGUCCUAUCAGCUUGUUGGUGAGGAACGGCUCACCAAGGCUUCGACGGGUAGCUGGUCUGAGAGGACGAUCAGCCACACUGGCACUGCGACACGGGCCAGACUCCUACGGGAGGCAGCAGUAAGGAAUAUUGCGCAAUGGGCGAAAGCCUGACGCAGCGACGCCGCGUGGGGGAUGAAAGUCUUCGGGAUUGUAAACCCCCUUUCGGGAGGGAAGAUGGAACGAGCAAUCGUUCGGACGGUACCUCCAGAAGCAGCCACGGCUAACUUCGUGCCAGCAGCCGCAGUAAU